GACGAACGCUGGCGGCGUGCUUAACACAUGCAAGUCGAACGGAAAGGGCCUGCUUUUGUGGGGUGCUCGAGUGGCGAACGGGUGAGUAACACGUGAGUAACCUGCCCUUGACUUUGGGAUAACUUCAGGAAACUGGGGCUAAUACCGGAUAGGAGCUCCUUCUGCAUGGUGGGGGUUGGAAAGUUUAGGCGGUUGGGGAUGGAAUCGCGGCUUAUCAGCUUGGUGGUGGGGUAGUGGCUUACCAAGGCUUUGACGGGUAGCGGGCCUGAGAGGGUGGCCGGCCACGUUGGGACUGAGAUGCGGCCCAGACUAAUCCGGGAGGCAGCAGUGGGGAAUAUUGCACAAUGGGCGGAAGCCUGAUGCAGCAAAGCCGCGUGCGGGAAGACGGCAUGCGGGUUGUAAACCGCUUUCGCUUGUGACGAAGCGUGAGUGACGGUAAUGGGUAAAGAAGCACCGGCUAACUACGUG
rnacentral:rRNA from 1 species